rnacentral:rRNA from 1 species
GACGAACGCUGGCGGCGUGCUUAACACAUGCAAGUCGAACGGAAAGGCCCUGCUUUUGUGGGGUGCUCGAGUGGCGAACGGGUGAGUAACACGUGAGUAACCUGCCCUUGACUUUGGGAUAACUUCAGGAAACUGGGGCUAAUACCGGCUAGGAGCUCCUGCUGCAUGGUGGGGGUUGGAAAGUUUCGGCGGUUGGGGAUGGACUCGCGGCUUAUCAGCUUGUUGGUGGGGUAGUGGCUUACCAAGGCUUUGCCGGGUAGCCGGGCUGAGAGGGUGACCGGCCACAUUGGGCCUGAGAUACGACACAGACUCGUACGGGAGGCAGGAGUGGGGAAGAGUGCACAAUGGGCGGAAGCCUGAUGCAGCAACGCCGCGUGCGGGAUGACGGCCUUCGGGUUGUAAACCGCUUUCGCCUGUGACGAAGCGUGAGUGACGGUAAUGGGUAAAGAAGCACCGGCUAACUACGUG